rnacentral:rRNA from 1 species
GACGAACGCUGGCGGCGUGCCUAAUACAUGCAAGUAGAACGCAGUUGCGAAGGGGUGAGUAUAGCGUAGGUAACUGCCUCAUAGCGGGGGAUAACUAUUGGAAACGAUAGCUAAUACCGCAUACUUUGAGAUGGACCUGCGUUGUAUUAGCUAGUUGGUGAGGUAAAGGCUCACCAAGGCGACGAUACAUAGCCGGCCUGAGAGGGGGAAUCGCCAACACGGGACAUGGGAAACGCCCAAGAUGCUACGGGAGGCAGGCAUAGGGAAACUUCGGAAAUUGGCGGAAAGCUGAACGAGGAAAGGCGGCGGAGUGAAAAAGGUUUUCGGAGCGUAAAACUCUGUUGUUAGGGGAGCGGUAACUAACCAGAAAGGGACGGCUAACUACGUGCCAGCAGCCGCGGUAAUAC